UGGGGAAUAUUGCACAAUGGGCGCAAGCCUGAUGCAGCCAUGCCGCGUGUGUGAAGAAGGCCUUCGGGUUGUAAAGCACUUUCAGCGGGGAGGAAGGCGUUAAGGUUAAUAACCUUGGCGAUUGACGUUACCCGCAGAAGAAGCACCGGCUAACUCCGUGCCAGCAGCCGCGGUAAUACGGAGGGUGCAAGCGUUAAUCGGAAUUACUGGGCGUAAAGCGCACGCAGGCGGUCUGUCAAGUCGGAUGUGAAAUCCCCGGGCUCAACCUGGGAACUGCAUUCGAAACUGGCAGGCUAGAGUCUUGUAGAGGGGGGUAGAAUUCCAGGUGUAGCGGUGAAAUGCGUAGAGAUCUGGAGGAAUACCGGUGGCGAAGGCGGCCCCCUGGACAAAGACCGACGCUCAGGUGCGAAAGCGUGGGGAGCAAACAGG
rnacentral:rRNA from 1 species